rnacentral:rRNA from 1 species
GAUGAACGCUGGCGGCGUGCCUAAUACAUGCAAGUCGAGCGAACAGACGAGGAGCUUGCUCCUCUGACGUUAGCGGCGGACGGGUGAGUAACACGUGGAUAACCUACCUAUAAGACUGGGAUAACUUCGGGAAACCGGAGCUAAUACCGGAUAAUAUAUUGAACCGCAUGGUUCAAUAGUGAAAGACGGUUUUGCUGUCACUUAUAGAUGGAUCCGCGCCGCAUUAGCUAGUUGGUAAGGUAACGGCUUACCAAGGCAACGAUGCGUAGCCGACCUGAGAGAGUGAUCGGCGACACUGGAACUGAGACACGGUCCAGACUCCUACGGGAGGCAGCAGUAGGGAAUCUUCCGCGAUGGGCGAAAGCCUGACGGAGCAACGCCGCGUGAGUGAUGAAGGUCUUCGGAUCGUAAAACUCUGUUAUUAGGGAAGAACAAAUGUGUAAGUAACUGUGCACGUCUUGACGGUACCUAAUCAGAAAGCCACGGCUAACUACGUG